UACGAGAGGUGCAAGCGUUAUUCGGAAUUAUUGGGCGUAAAGGGCGCGUAGGCGGUUUGUUAAGUUUGUUGUUAAAGCCUCUGGCUUAACUAGAGAUCAGCAAUAAAAACUGGCAAACUAGAGUGUGAGAGAGAGAAGUGGAAUUCCCGGAGUAGCGGUAAAAUGCGUAGAUCUCGGGAGGAACACCAAUGGCGAAGGCUGCUUCUUGGUUCACAACUGACGCUGAGGCGCGAAAGCGUGGGGAG
rnacentral:rRNA from 1 species